AUUGAACGCUGGCGGCAGGCCUAACACAUGCAAGUUGAACGAGUGGCGGAGGUGUGAGUAAUGUCAGGGAAACUGCAUGAUGGAGGGGGAUAACUACGGGAAACGGUAGCUAAUAACGCAUACCAUCAGAUGUGCACAGAUGGGAUUAGCUAGUUGGUGGGGUAACGGCUCACCAAGGAGACAAUCCCUAGAUGGUCUGAGAGGAUGACCAGCCACGCGGGAACUGAGACACGGACCAGACGCGUACGGGAGUCAGCCGGGGGGAAUGUUGCAGAAUGGGCGAAAGCCUGAUGCAGCCAUGCCGCGUGGAUGAAGAAGUACAUCGGGUUGUUAAGUACUUUCAGCGGUGAGGCGUAACCCGCAUAAGAAGCACCGGCUAACUCCGUGCCAGCAGCCGCGGUAAUAC
rnacentral:rRNA from 1 species